UCCACGCCGUAAACGAUGAAUACUAGGUGUCGGGUUCUUAGAACUCGGUGUCGCAGCUAAUGCAUUAAGUAUUCCACCUGGGGAGUACGAUCGCAAGGUUGAAACUCAAAGGAAUUGACGGGGGCCCGCACAAGCAGUGGAGCAUGUGGUUUAAUUCGACCAACGCGAAGAACCUUACCUAGACUUGAAACGCUGUGGACAACUUGCGAAAGCAAGCUUC
rnacentral:rRNA from 1 species